UACGAAGGGUGCAAGCGUUACUCGGAAUUACUGGGCGUAAAGCGUGCGCAGGCGGUUUUGUAAGUUUGUCGUGAAAGCCCCGGGCUCAACCUGGGAAUUGCGAUGAAGACUGCAAGGCUUGAAUCUGGCAGAGGGGGGUAGAAUUCCACGUGUAGCAGUGAAAUGCGUAGAGAUGAUGGAGGAACACCGAUGGCGAAGGCAGCCCCUGGGUCAAGAUUGACGCUCAUGCACGAAAGCGUGGGGAGCAAACAGG
rnacentral:rRNA from 1 species